rnacentral:lncRNA from 1 species
CUGUGUUUGGUCAAAACUCAUAUCCGUUACAUAAGCGUCGUGAUACUAAUAUUUCUGUUCAAGUUAGGGGCCGAACGUUAGACAAUCGAUGGGUUGUACCAUAUAAUCCUUAUUUAAGUACGAAAUUUGAUUGUCACAUUAAUGUUGAAGUAUGUUCUUCUAUCAAAGCUGUAAAAUAUUUGUACAAGUAUGUUUACAAAGGAUAUGAUCAUAUUAAUUUUUCAGUUCUUAAAAAUGAAACAAAGAUGGAUAUAGAUAGAAUUUUUGCUUAUCAAUCUACUAGAUGGAUAUCUGCACCUAAAGCUAUGUGGAAGAUUUUUUUCCUUUAAUAUGUCAGAAAUUUGUCCAACAGUUUACUCUUUGCAGCUUCAUAUCGAAAAUCAUCAGCAAGCAACAUAUGACAAUGAAGAUGAUUUAUCUACUGUUGUUGAAAAUGAAAAUAAAAAAAAGGAACUAUGUUGACGGAAUUUUUUCUCAUGAAUGCAGAAAAUGAGUUUACACGUACACUUUUGUGUAAAGAUUUCCCAACAUAUUUUGUUUGGAACACGAAUAAGAAAAUUUGGACUCGCAAAAAGAAACAAGUUGUUAUAGGAGGAAUUGUUAUGGUAAAUCCAUAGGAAGGAGAACGAUAUUUUCUUCGUGUUCUUUUGAAUCAUAUUCAAGGUCCAACAUCGUUUCAAGAUUUACGAACUUCAAAUGGAAUUACUGUUGUUACAUAUCGAGAAGCAGUGCUUCUGCAUGGUUUAUUGAGUGGAGAUAAUAAUUGUGAAAAAUGUUUAUCUGAAACUAUUAUAUAUGAAAUGCCGAUUUAUUUAAGACGUCUAUUUGCGACACUUCUUAGCCUUUGCAACCCUAAUAAUCCAGAAUUAUUGUGGAAUAAAUUCGAAUCUUAUAUGAUUGAUGAUUACAUAUAUGAAAAUAUUUCUUCACAUGAUGUUGAACUUCGGACUUUAAACGAUAUUAGUUGUAUCUUAGAAACUUUAGGUAAAAAUAUAAACAACUACGAAAUAGUAUCAUUCAAUGUAGCUAUGAACGAAAAUGAUAAAUUGAGGAGAAUGGUUGAAGAUGAGACAAGAAAUCUGAAUAUUGAAGAAAGCUAUGUUUGUGUAGCAAGUUUAAAUAACAAAAAACAAAUUGCAUAUGAUAUGAUUACGGAAAAAAUAACAUCGGCAUCAAGUGGUGCUUUCUUCAUCGAUCAUCCAGACGGAACAGGUAAAACAUUUUUAUAUAAAGUAUUGCUAAGUGCUGUAAGGUCUCAAAAUGCAAUUGGUUUGGCAACUGCGUCUUCUGGAGUAGCUGCAUCCCUUCUACCUGGAGGUAGAACUGCUCAUUCAAUGUUUAAAAUUCCUUUGGAAAAAGUAGGUGAAAUAAGUUCCUCUGUUAGUAAACAAUCUGCUUUAAGAAUAUUGUUGAAAAUGUGCAAGUUAAUAAUGUGGGAUAAAACUCCUAUGGUAAACCGGUGUGCUAUUGAGGCUGUGGAUAAAAUGCUAAAAGAUAUUAAUGAUUGUAAUUUAUCUUUCGAUGGUAAAAUUAUGAUUCUCCGGGGGGAUUUCCGACAAGUUUUAUCAGUAGUAAGAAGAGGGAAAAAAGAAGAAGUAAUUAAAGCUAGCUAAAUCUUUUUUGACCUAUGGCCUCUAUUAUUACAUCUACCAUUAGUUGAAAACAUGAGAGCAAAAUUUGAUCCUACUUUUUGUGAUUACUUGUUAAGAAUUGGAAACGGAAAAAAAUAACAACAUUCUUGUAAUUGCGUUCAACAUCCAAGCAACAUAAUUGUACAAUUUGAAGAUGAAAUAAAAUCUUUAAAAACUUUAUUACAUUAUGUUUUUCCAAAUAUAGAACCAUAUGCUGAUAAUUUACAUAUGAUGGCAAAUCGAGUCAUUCUUACGCCUAAAAAUGAAUGUGUUAAUCAUAUUAAUAAGAUUUUAUUAGAAUAAAUUCCAGGUAAAUUUUUUACAUACUAUAGCUUUGAUGAAGUAAUCAAUAAAUCAAAACAAAGCUUGCAAGAAGAUUUCCUUAAUAGUUUGACCUCAAAUAGUAUUGCACCACAUGAGUUAAUACCUAAAGGGAAUUGUCCAGUCAUGUUGCUACGAAACAUCAAUCUUUCUGAAGGGUUAUGCAACGGAACACGACUUACUUGUCGAAAAUUUGAGAAAAAUGUCAUUCUGUCGGAAAUUACAUUAGGCAAAUAUUAUGGAAAAUUUGUUUUUUUUUUUACCAAGAAUCCCUUUUAUACCGCUUUAAAGUGAUCAAAGUUCAAUUCCAUUCAAAAGAACUCAAUUUCCAAUUAGACCAUGCUUUGCAAUGAUGAUAAAUAAAGCACAAGGACAAACAAUUGAUUUUGUUAGUUUUUAUCUUUCAGAGCCAAUUUUUUUAUCAUAGUCAACUUUAUGUAGCAUUGUCAAGAGCAAAAACAAGCAAGUCUCUAAAAGUUUUAAUUAACCCAUCAACUGAUGAAACUUUGCACAUCAGAUGCACUAAAUAUGUAGUGUAUAACGAAAUUUUUUCGUUUAUACAUCCGUAAAAGACAUUGUCGAAGCAAUACAGGUUUGUUAUAUUUGUAAUAAUAUCAUAAACUUAGUUUUAAAGAUAGCUUUAAUUAUUAUAACCUAUGUCAUUUUUUUUUGUUGCUGAUAUACAGAUUCGAUCCAUAUAGGAAAGUGUACCUUUGUAUCUUAGUUUAUUUUGUAGCUAAUUUUUAAAUAAAAAAUGUUGUUUAUUUACUACUCUAUAUGUUUUUGAACAGUUUUGCAAUUAUAAUGUUUUAGCCUUAAGACUUCGAAAUUCUUAAAAGGAUUGGGAAGAAGCAUAUUAGUUUUUGCAACAUAUAAUAUAUCACAAGCAAAUACUGCUAUUACUCGACAAAAUUCUGUGUAAUGGGUUAAGCAAGAUGAGAUCAUAAUGCUACACGCUGUUUACAAUGUAAAGGGCUUAAACAAAACAAUAUAGUAUGUCUUCUCUCUUUUUCAUUAAUUACAAUUAUUUUUUCUUAGAUUUUUAGUUUUUUUUUUUUACAAUUCAUUAUAUACAUAUAAUUAAAUGCUAGCUGUAGAUUUUAAUUCAAAUGUGUUGGAGAUCAAAGUGCUUAGGAAACAAAAUAUUUCUGAUGAAAAAUAUACAUACGUAUGUAUUAAAUAUGGGGUAAAAAAUUAAUACUUCGUUAUUGAAUUCACAUACAAUAAGUAUUUAGUAGUUUUUUUUAAUUAUUAUUUUCUUUACCUGUACUAUCAAUUGAAUGUAAAAAUAUUACUAUGCCAUGCCUUUUUUUUUGCAGGUAGCAUAUAAUUUUAUUUUUUUUAAUGUUGGUCUAUCGUUUUUAUUACUUGUUUAUUAUUCAUUUAUUUAAGAAUAUGGAAAAUACAUAUAUUCAAUUGAUUGCAUUUGUAUAUAAUUUGUACUUUCAAUGUUAGCCUUUCGUUUUCUUACUUUUUUAUUAAACUUCAUGUUGCUGAUAGUGUUUACAAGUGUCUCUUUCUUAUAUACUUAGGUUAACAUAUUCUGUAUUAGAUAAUUUAACACUCAAAAUUUUAUGCAGUUUUUCGUAUGCUAAGUUUAAAAGAUUUAUUUUGUAAUUUUUAAUAAUACAAUUUGUUCUUAUUUUAUUUGAAUAUAUAUAUAUAUAUAUAUAUAUACACACAAUUUUAUAGUUAUUGCAUCAAACUUUUUACUGACUACAAUAUUGCUGUUCUUCUUACUUAAUGGCAAAUUGCUUCAAUGUUGUAAAAUAACUACAAACAUGUUUUUAUUCUUUUUUGUAUUUAUUAAAAAAAAGAAAAUAUUGCCUACAAUUAAUUACGAUUUUUUCACAUUUUUUCCCUAUAGUUAUAGGCCAGCAUUAAAAAUGAAUAUCCCCAUGAUUAUUCUAAACUUUCGAGUUACGAUGAAAAGGAAUUUAAUGAGACUAAAUAUAGUGUAGUUUUGCAUGUUUUUAAAUAGUAUGUAAAGUUACAAUGUGUUUGGCAAUUUCCUUAGUUAUGCUAUUAUCUUAAAUUUACGAGGUAAAACUGUAUGUCCUUUGUUGAAACAAUAAAGGGGUAAAUAAAAAUUGUACUUCCGAAUUGAUAGGCUACUUACUACAAUCGAUUUUUAUUUUUUUUGAUUUUUCAUUUUAAUUCUAUACAUAUAGAUGCUUUUAUACAUGGCUCUUGGUCAAAAUUUAGCAAUUACUAACAAUAAUUUAAAAUUUAAAGUUCUUAUUACUGUUGUUAACCUUCAACUUUUAUUAAAAUAUAAUCUACUAUAUACUUAUAUUAAAUUCUUUGUUACAAUAGUUAUUUUUUUAUUUAGAAAGUAAUUAUUAAGGAUUUACGGAUGUAGUUUGGCACAGUUUAAUUUUAAUUUUAUGAAUUACAUAAGUUUCGAAUUUGAUCAGUUGCAUAAAUUAAUACUUCGUUCAUGUAUUUAUCGUCAUUAAAUUUAAUGAAUGCAAAAUGUAGUGCUUCAAUUUUGUGCUUGUGAGUACGAAAUCGCUCUUCAAUAAUAAAUAUUGGUUCUUGUUUAUAUUAACUUAUGUUGGUUGUUUGUUUAGUAAAAAUGAAAGCUCGAAAAAGUUUUUCAAUCUAUAAUUUUUUUUAAUGAUUAGGUACUGAACUCUCUGAAAAUGUUUUUCUCGCCAGUUAUAUGAUGUUAGCAAUUGCUGCAGAUUCACUUUUUGGCCUUUAAAAAGACGACGACUAAAGAAAUCUAUAUUUCUUUUCUCACAAAUAAAUAGUUGUACAGCAUAUCGAUCCAGGUAAUGUUAGGGAUGUAAACGAGCCGGGCCGAGCCGGCUCGCGAGCCUAAAGUUUCGGCUCCGGGCCNNNNNNNNNNNNNNNNNNNNNNNNNNNNNNNNNNNNNNNNNNNNNNNNNNNNNNNNNNNNNNNNNNNNNNNNNNNNNNNNNNNNNNNNNNNNNNNNNNNNNNNNNNNNNNNNNNNNNNNNNNNNNNNNNNNNNNNNNNNNNNNNNNNNNNNNNNNNNNNNNNNNNNNNNNNNNNNNNNNNNNNNNNNNNNNNNNGGCUUGGCCCGGUUAAAGUGACCGAGCUUUUUUGCGGGCUCGAGCCGAGCCGAGCAAAAGCUCGGCCAAAAAAAAUAGGCUCGGUCCGAGCUUUUGCUCGGGCUUUUUACGGGCCGAGUCGGGCAGCUGCUGUCUUUAAAAGGUAGCAGUUUUGCCUUUAAAUUAUUUUUUUUGUUUUUUUAUUUUUAAAAGAUCGCGAGCUCACGGGCCGGCUCGGGCAAAGCCCGUGUCCCCAAAAUGGGGCUCGGCCCGAGCUUAGGCUCGGGUCUACCGAGCCCCGAGCCGAGCCGAGCCGAGCCGACUCGGGCUUUUCCCGAGCCGAGCCACGGGCGGCCCGAGCCGGCGAGCCCGAUUGCCAUCCCUAGGUAAUGUGCUACAAAUGUGGGCAACUUAAUGUCGAUUCUUUAGUUAAGCCUCAACUAAGUAUUUGAUUAGUGAAGAUUCUUCAGUUCAAAGGUCGCUUUAAAUAUUUUUAUUUUUUUUAUUGUUUCAAAUAGUCGUAACUUGUACAACGACUGCCGCUUAUAUAUAUUGAACUUGUAAAUUAUUGGUUUUUAUGUUGAAUUUCUUUUUCAUAAAGGGAAUUUUUAUUUUCGUUCCUGUUUUUUAUUAUAAAACUAUUUUCUAACGUUCUUAUAAUUUUGUAAGUAGGUAAGGUUUGUUAGCUUACUGUAUAAAUAAUAAGUGAUAUUUAUUGCUAUAUAAUUUUUUUGUAUUACUUAUUACUUUAACUAAAUAAUAGUAAUUGAAUCAAGGAUUAAAAAAUAAACGUUUUAUGUCAAAUCAUAAUAACAAUUUUAUUUUUACAUAUUCACUUAUGCAAAAUUUUAAAUUGUACUUUUCAACUAACAUAAAUAUAUUUAAUUACAAUUUACAAAUAUUAAUAUUUAAAACUUUUAUAUUAAUAAAUAAAGUGUAAAAUAUAAAUAAACAAAACCAAAAUAACUAUCAUUCUUUCAUAUGUAAAAAAAACAAAUAUUUAAUUACAUUUUACAAAUAUCGAUAUUUAAAAUUUUUAUAUUAUAAAUAUAAAAUAUAAAUAAACAAGAAUAAAACAAAAGUUACGUGAUUUUAUUUAGUUAAUAUAAUUGUUAUUUUAAAAAACUAUAUUAAAUAUUUAAUAGCAAAGAAAAUCUUUUAUGUUCAUUGAAUGAAUACAAAAGUACAAUUAUAUCUUCUCUUUUUAUUAAAUGAUGAAUAGAUGAGUAUAAUCAUAACUUAUAUGAAUAAUAGUUAUCUUCACAUAACAGAUAUUUUUUAGUUGAUACGUAACUACAAUUACUUUUCAAAUUCUGCAUAAACAAAUUCAAAAUAUCUAUUAAACAUCUCUUUGUCACAAGUUUUAUUAUAUAUAGCAUACAUACAUUAUUAAAGUUCAUGCAUAUACAUUUCAUCUCUACUUAGCAAAUCUUCAAACAAAAACUUUUCCGUCUGUUUAUUACUGGUAUUCUUUUCAUUUUUCCAAAAAAAGUUGCUUUUCAUUUUCAUAACUAUUUUUACUCUAACUUCUUCUUGUUCAUUAACAGAUAUCAAGACUGGCUACAUCAAUAAAUUAAUCCCACAAAUUGGAACUUCAGGAAUGAAUUGGUCUGCAAAAGUAGUAAUUGUAGGAAAGCAAUCACCUAAGACGGCUAGCAAUUCAACUACCAGUUACCAAAAUAUUGUCCUCAUGGAUUUAGAGGUACAUAAAUAAUAACAUUUUUGUUAAUUUUAAACUUUUAUUAUUAUACCUGUAUAUUUUGUAAAUCCUUUCAACUUCGCUAAUGUGGAACAGGGUAAUCGACUUACAGCAACACUGUAUGAUACAAAUAUUAUUGUACUUAACGAUCAGCUCGACUUGGGGAAAACACAUGUCCUCUCGAAUGCAACAAUGAAAGAUAACAAAAGUCAGUUUAAAAGCUUAGCUGAUGAAAAAAUUUAGACCAUCACGGGAAGAAUAAAAAUUGAAGAAUUGCACGAGAAUAACUUGAACUUUAUUUUCUCACAGUAUCAACUUACUCCAUUUGAUGAAUUAGAUCAACACAUGGAUAAAAAUAUCAACAUAAGUAAGAUUUCUAAUACUUCGCUUUAUUAUUAUGUAUUUUACAAUCUUCUACAGUUAUGAUCGUCUUUAAUUUAACUAUAUAUGAUAUACACAAAAAUAUUUUUCGUUUUAGGUGUUAUAGGUGUAGGUUUUAUUUUCUCACAGUAUCAACUUACUCCAUUUGAUGAAUUAGAUCAACACAUGGAUAAAAAUAUCAACAUAAGUAAGAUUUCUAAUACUUCGCUUUAUUAUUAUGUAUUUUACAAUCUUCUACAGUUAUGAUCGUCUUUAAUUUAACUAUAUAUGAUAUACACAAAAAUAUUUUUCGUUUUAGGUGUUAUAGGUGUAGGUAGCUGUGGAUGUUAGACAAAAACGAAUUAUUCAAAUCCAUUUUGGUACACAAGCCACUCUUCAGAUGUUAUAUUGAUGGAUAAAAAAUGUCAGACAGUGAUUCUAACCCUAUGGGAUAGUUUUGUGGAUCGAGAACGUAUUACAAUUAUUGAAAAUCUUGCAAAUAGACCCAUUAUAUGGGCUACUAAUCUUAAGGUAUCGUUAUUCAAUGAUAUAAUCUUACAUACUUAUUCAUUUACUACAUUUAAAUAUUACAAUUAUAUGUUAAUUAAUUUUUUUUAUGUGUAGGCGUUACCCUUUCAACCAAAGUCAAUAGAACUAUCUUUAUUAAUUCUGAUAUAUUACUUGUUGCAGAUUAUAAAAACCGAUUCUUAAAAUAUAUUUCAUUAAAACAAAAAUCAAUAAAUAAAAAUUAAUAAACGAAUUAUUUUGAUUAAUAUUUUUAUGUUUGUUUUUUACAGGAUGGAGGCUAACAAAGAAAGAUUUGAGAAAAUUGCAGAAAAUAAGUUACUCGUUGUUGUCAGCCCACUAAAGCUAUCGCCUCCAACUCUGGACAAAUUUACGUCAAUUGCAGAUUUACUGGGAGUAUAUUUAACGGUAAUUUAUUUUCAUUCAAUAUAUAAGUAAUAUAAAUACAUUUUUUUCCUAUUUGUCAAUAAAUACAUUGUCCUUUUAUUAUUUGUUAAAUAUAAAUAAUAUUCUUUUUUCUAGAAAAAGUUUUAUUAGGUCAAAGCACAUUGGAAAAUCAUUUCCAAAAAUAAAAAAUUUUGGUAUAUAGCUUGCAACAACUGCAAGAAAACAUCCAACGUAGACUUUGAACAAAUUUAUAAAUGUCGACUCUGCAAAUGCGAACAUGCAAAAGCUGUUCCGAGGUAGCUUAUACUAUAAAAUAUAUGUUCAAUUUUUACGUCAUAUUAAUGUUUUAUGAAAGAAUACAUAAUACAUACUAUGUUUUCCAAAAAAAAAUUCAUAGAGUGAAUGCUUUCGUUCAUCUUGAGGACAAAUCUGGAUGGUUGAAUGCAAGUAUUAUUGGGGAUACGGCAGAAACAUUAUUGGAAACUACUGCAACUGAUAUAAUGAACCAUUUUGAAAAGGUAAAAUUAAAAUUUUAACAUUCUUUAAUAUUAUUUGCUUCAAUAUUUUAAGAUUUUAGUUCUGUUACAGGAACCAGAUGUAGAAAUCGACAACGUGAUCAGAAUGAAAAGUGAAAAUGAAGCACAAUUUUAUUUGAAAGUUACUCACAAAUGCCAAAACCCUCCAGAAUACCACUUUGAAAUUAUCUUUGCAUUCAACUCUUUAACAACAAUCAAUGGGAACAAGCACUUUACUACAACGACGAGUACUACAACCGAUAAAAGCAAUUCAGCUGAACUGAAGGAAAGUUCGGAUAAAAAAACUACAAAAGGCAAAGAAGAGAUGUGUAUUACUGCAAGUUCUCCAGAAACUAAAGAAAUAACUACGACAAAGGUGAAAAUGUCUCUUUUUUAAACAACACAAGAACCAGAUUCGGAAGUUAAGAAAAAACCUCACAAAAGUUAUGAAACGAACGAUGAGCUAACUUCGCAAACUUAAAAAUCACUACGUUACUUUUGUACUUUUGGAUUAGUUGACAGCUUUUGGAGUAUAAUACUGAAUAAUAAGUUUCCCAACAAGAAUAUGUCAACUAAAAAUAGUUUUCUACUUCAGAAAGUCAGUAAGCUUCAAUGUGUAAUAUGUCAUGUUGUAAGAAACAUCUUUAUAUUUUUGUAAUAUUACAUUUUGCACCUUGGAUUACACAAAUGCUUCUGUGCUCAAUGACUAAAUUUAUAAAAUAUUAAAUUAAAAAAAAAAUUCAACCAUUAAAUACGUCACUUUUACUAAUGUAUGUAUAACACUUGUAUUUUUGCAAAACAACACUUGCACAAUUUAUUAAAUUUUGCAGCUUCUUUCUAUCUUUGUAAACUUAUCAAUUACUAAUUUGUUAUGCAACAACCAAAUUUAUACAACUUUAAACACAAUAAAAACACUUAAAUUCCAAUGCAUAAUUAUUAAUUAAAUGAAUUAAAACAAACUAUACUCAAAUUCAAUUUACAUUUACACAUUCCAACUACUAACAUUUAUUUAUCCCACAUUCCAACCACCAACAUUUAAUUACCCUACAUUCUAACUACCAACAUUUACUCACUAAUAUUUAUCCAUGAACGUAUGUUUACCAACAUUCAAAACACUACACACAUUCAACCAUUUAAUCAUUUUGUUUUUAGCAAGCAUUUCAUUUCGCAACUUUUCAACACCGGCUUUUCGCUUAAUCGACCAUCGAAAAAGGUAAUUUUCAUAAAAGAUGUAAUGAAAAUAAAUUUAGAAUGUAUUUAUGUUAUAAAGAAUAUGUAGUUUAGCCAAUACUAUUAUGUUAAAAAAGCAAUUGAAACUUAAGUCUACAGAGUCAAGUUCUUAUGUGAUAGAAAAAAAUUGAAGUCGGAAAACUAACAUCAACUGUUAUAGUAGAAAAUAGCCAUAUUAACUUGUUUAAUUUGUUUUAUUUUAAAGGUUUUUUUUGUUCACUGAAAACCAAGUUAAACAUCGCGUUGCGGGCAGUGAGAACACUUCGCGCAGCACGGAGUAUUGCCUACACUUCGCGCUGUGCGGAGUGCCUUGAAGGGAAGCUCUGCGCUGCGCGGAGUGAGUCUUCGCACAGCGCGAAGUGGGCGUCCGCGAUGAGCGGAAUAAGACACUCCGCGCACACUUCACUCUACGCGGAGUCACUCCAUGUAUCACAAAGUUCUCAAAUUCCAUGCAAAACGUAGUGUCACUCUGCGCGACACUAAGUGCGAUCUGCUCACACUCCACAUUGCGUUUUAGUAAUACUCUUAACAAAAAAUAAUCAAAUUUUCAUGAAGGCAAUAACAUUUUAUAACAAUUUUGUACAAAUGCACAUAAUUAUAUAUAAUAAUAUCAAAAUUUUCAUAAAAACUUUAUUUUGCUUAAAUAAUUACAUUAAUAAAAAUUCAAUAACUCUUGUAUUUGUAUUUAUCAAUUCCUAACUGUCUAAUUUUACGAGUAACUUUGUAAUGUCCCACAAAGAACAUUAUAAUCUUAUCCACAACCACCAUACUUUUUUUUUUUUUUAUCUAUCUAAGUACUUUAAUUUGUACUUAUUCAAUAUAUACUUUUUUAUAUAUAUUCUUUUUCCAAGUCAAAUGAUCAAUUACAUUUAGAUUAGUCGAUUUAACAAGACAUUUAUAUGAACAUAUUUAAAUUAUUUAAAGCAUCAAAUAAUCUAUCAAAUGUGAUAUAUAUUCGAUUACAAGAAUCAUGUAUCAACAAAUUCAAAUUCAAACUCUACUAUUUGAACAUCAACAAAAGAAUUUAAAAAUGAGGAAUUUUUGGUAAAAAAUAGUUGAAUUUCAUUUUAGUCACAAAACUUUUAUUUUUUCUAACAAUGCAUCAGCAGGCCAACUUCUGCUACCAAAACUAGAUAUUGUCCAACACGGUGGGGGAGAAAUAAAAUACAAACAUAACAAUGUGCCAACAAAUGAUCACUAUUAAUUUUAGAAUAAUACUCUGUAUUGCUAGUAAUAUUGAACAUCAGUUUAAAUUUCAACAUGUUAUGGGUCAUAUUAAAUUGACCAUAAUUCAUUGUAUUUAUUUGCACUUAUAAUUUAAUGUUAUUAGCUAUUAGUGCUUCAUCUAAACCGAUGUUAAAAACUAGUGGUAAUAAAUAACAUUACUUAAAAGUCUCCUCGUCAACUUUGAACUCGAGAAUCAUUGCCAACAGGGCCAGUCCUAAGGCAAGGGAAGUGAGGCCUGCGCCUCAGGCCCAAACUCCAAGGGGGCUCAUUUUUUGCCCCAAUUUUUUUUAUUUGAACAAUGGCAGCCUAAGACUCUCAAGCCCAAAACCCAACUUAUAUAUCCAUAAUCCAUUAUCUAUUUACCCAAAAUUCUCAAAUCCCAUCUUUCCCAAACGAUCGUCUCCAUCUCUCUGGACUUCUCCUUCAAUCAUUCCCGUUCGUCAUCCCAGAAUCCCAGAUUUCCCGCUUCCAGCCGGCGUUCCGAUUUCGCUUUCGCAGUUUGCCCCUCUUGGCAGUCUGUAAUGUCAUGCCCUUAAUUAGCAAUUGUAAUGUCAUGGUAAUAUGGUAUUUUGUGGCCCAUUUUCAGAUUUUUGCUUGCAUUUGUUUAUGAUUUAUGCACGAGUGACGUCAAACAUGGGUUGUCGUGUUGCUUCAUUUCCCAUUUUUGAUUUCUGCACCAUUGUCUGUAAUUGAUUUCCACUUCAUUUUUGUGUUUUGUUUUUUUUUGCCAUGAUUAAUUUUCGUGCAGAGGGCUCAGAGAUGUUAUUUUCCAAGUUUUUGACUCAUAAUGCCGUUUUUUUUUCUUUUGUGUAAUAUUUUUUGGGAUCUUUGGACUUGGGUUUAUCACUUUUGGUUUUAGCUCGCAAUUUAUUUCGAUUUAAAAGAUAUUUUGGUUUUGAGUGUUCUUUUUUUAAAGACUUCAUUUUUUAUUGUUAUUUAAUAUAGUUUCUAUUUUGGGCAUUUUUAUUUAUGAUUUAUUUGAUUUCUUUUCUGGGUUCAGGUAGCUUGAAUUUAUUGACAUAGUGGUUUUUUUCUGGGUCAAUUUUGGAGUCCAACAUUGAUGACUUUGUUGUGUUUACAAUAGAAAUACUAUCCUAUAGCCUUUUAUGAGAUAUCUGCUAAAUAAAUUUCAUAUUCACUAAUGUUGUAGCCACUGAGACAGAAAAUAGGAUGUUACCUAUUCAUCUAAAAGUCUUAAACCACUGGAAUCUUCAAAUAUCGCGAAAUCAACCCAUCAUGGGCAAUUUCUUCUUCAUAUCUUCCAAUUCCUGCAAUUUAAACCCCAAAUAAAAUCAAAUGCCAUCACACACACUCAUAAAAACAUAUACGCAAGAACACACUAACGCACACACAUAAAUCUAAAAACAUACCUUGACUUUAGAGUUAGAAUCGAGUUCAGCCCUAGCUUCAGACCACAAAUUAAUAAAGUAGCACGUCAUCUUAAAUUGAUUUACGUUGUCAUUGAGAUUGUGUUAGUUGAACUUAACUACAUUACUCAGUAAUUUUCAUUUGGAGUAAUUUUUUGCACAUCCUAAAUUUUAUCCACGUAUUAUGUGUUUAUGUGUCUUAGGUCUAAAUAGGCCCUACAAGGCUCGAACCUCUGAUAAGAAGGUAAUUCCAUAGCCACAUAUUUAACAUAUGAGUUGUACUCAAACUUAAUUUUAUUUAUUUAUAAUUAUUUGCAGGAUUGUCUUUGACAUAUAUAAAAGAGAAGAAAAGUCAGU